UACGGAGGGUGCAAGCGUUAAUCGGAAUUACUGGGCGUAAAGCGCACGCAGGCGGUCUGUCAAGUCGGAUGUGAAAUCCCCGGGCUCAACCUGGGAACUGCAUUCGAAACUGGCAGGCUAGAGUCUUGUAGAGGGGGGUAGAAUUCCAGGUGUAGCGGUGAAAUGCGUAGAGAUCUGGAGGAAUACCGGUGGCGAAGGUGGCCCCCUGGACAAAGACUGACGCUCAGGUGCGAAAGCGUGGGGAGCAAACAGG
rnacentral:rRNA from 1 species